CCGGCACGGGUGAGUAACACGUAUCCAACCUGCCGUCUACUCUUGGACAGCCUUCUGAAAGGAAGAUUAAUACAAGAUGGCAUCAUGAGUCCGCAUGUUCACAUGAUUAAAGGUAUUCCGGUAGACGAUGGGGAUGCGUUCCAUUAGGUUGUUGGCGGGGUAACGGCCCACCAAGCCUUCGAUGGAUAGGGGUUCUGAGAGGAAGGUCCCCCACAUUGGAACUGAGACACGGUCCAA
rnacentral:rRNA from 1 species